AGUGAACGCUGGCGGUAGGCCUAACACAUGCAAGUCGAACGGCAGCACAGUAAGAGCUUGCUCUUACGGGUGGCGAGUGGCGGACGGGUGAGGAAUACAUCGGAAUCUACUUUUUCGUGGGGGAUAACGUAGGGAAACUUACGCUAAUACCGCAUACGACCUACGGGUGAAAGCAGGGGAUCUUCGGACCUUGCGCGAUUGAAUGAGCCGAUGUCGGAUUAGCUAGUUGGCGGGGUAAAGGCCCACCAAGGCGACGAUCCGUAGCUGGUCUGAGAGGAUGGACGGCCACACUGGAACGGAAGACCGGUCCAACCUCCUACGGGGGGACACAGUGGGGAAUUUUGGAAAAUGGGGGGAAGCCGGAACCAGCCAUACCCGGGGGGGAAAAAAGGCCUUGGGGUUGGAAAGCCCGUUUGUUGGGAAAGAAAAGGAGGAGGGUAAAAACCCGCUGUUCUGACGGUACCCAAAGAAUAAGCACCGGCUAACUUCGUG
rnacentral:rRNA from 1 species